rnacentral:rRNA from 1 species
AAGUGGGAUCAUACCAGCAUUAAUGCACCGUAUCCCAUCAGAACUCUGCAGUUAAGCAUGCUUGGGCUAGAGUAGUACUGGGAUGGGUGACCUGUUGAGAAGUCCUAGUGUUGCAACCU